GCUCAACGUGGAGGAGGAAGGAAGGAAAAUUCAAAGAUGCCACGUAAAGAAAGACGGCAGAAACAAAAAAGAAAAGAAUUGAUAGAUGCAGCAAAAGGUAGUGGAUUGUUGACCGACUGGGUCAGAACGAGUACUGCAGAUGGACAGAAGGAAAGUGAUAGAUCAGAGGAGGAGACAAAAAUGCAGUCAACAACACAGGAAGACAGGCAAGGAGAGGGACAACAGUCAGAAAUCAAAGACACAGAAAUGCAGUCAACACAGGAAGACAGGCAAGGAGAGGGACAACAGUCAGAAAUAAACACUAUGGAUGAAAAUGCAGAGCAACAAGUCAGAGAGAAGCCAUUCAUAUUUUUAAUGGACCUUCCACACCCAAAUGACCCAGCACAUGUCUUGCAAUUCAACAUAAAAUAUGAUGAAGCAUUUAUCCAAAAUUGUGUAAACCAAGGACCAUGCCAACCAGAGCUGUCAUUUCCUAAAAAUGAAGAAGGAAGGUC